rnacentral:rRNA from 1 species
UGGGGGAUAUUGCACAAUGGGCGAAAGCCUGAUGCAGCGACGCCGCGUGGGGGAUGAAGGCCUUCGGGUUGUAAACUUCUUUUGCUCUGAACAAGGCAUGCUAAUGGGUGUGUUGAGUGUAGGGGUUGAUUAGCGCCGGCUAACUACGUGCCAGCAGCCGCGGUAAUACGUAGGGCGCGAGCGUUGUCCGGAAUUAUUUGGCGUAAAGGGCUUGUAGGUGGCUGGUUGCGUCUGUCGUGAAAGCUCAAGGCUUAACUGUGGGUUUGCGGUGGGUACGGGCUGGCUGGAGUGCAGUAGGGGAGGCUGGAAUUCCUGGUGUAGCGGUGGAAUGCGCAGAUAUCAGGAGGAAGACCAGUGGCGAAGGCGGGUCUCUGGGCUGUUACUGACACUGAGGAGCGAAAGCAUGGGGAGCGAACAGG